rnacentral:rRNA from 1 species
AGAAUCAACGCUGGCGGCGUGCCUAACACAUGCAAGUCGCACGAGAAAGUGGAGCAAUCCACGAGUAAAGUGGCGCACGGGUGAGUAACACGUGAAUAAUCUACCUCCGAGUGGGGAAUAACUGAGAGAAAUCUUAGCUAAUACCGCAUAAUACCCACGGGUCAAAGCAGCAAUGCGCUUGGAGAGGAGUUCGCGGCCGAUUAGCUAGUGGCGGGUAAUGGCCCACCAAGGCGAUGAUCGGUA